GACCAGAAUGUUCAGUUGGUAGAGCACCUGACAAGAGAUUCAGGGCACCCGGGUUCGAAUCCCGGUCUGGUCC
rnacentral:tRNA from 1 species